AUUGAACGCUGUCGGCAAGCCUAACACAUGCAAGUCGAACGAGUGGCGGACGGUUGAGGAAUGUCUGGGAAACUGCCUGAUGGAAGGGGAUAACUACUGGAAACGGUAGAUAAUACCGCAUACCCUCAGACAUGCCCAUAGGGGAUUAGAUAGUGGGGGGGGUAAAGGCUCACCUAGGCGACGAGACCUAGCUGGUCUGAGAGGAUGAACAGCCACACUGGAACUGAGACACGGUCCAGACUCCUACGGGAGGCAGCAGGGGGGAAUAUUGCACAAUGGGCGCAAGCCUGAUGCAGCCAUGCCGGGUGUAUGAAGAAGGCCUUCGGGUUGUAAAGUACUUUCAGCGGGGAGGCGUUACCCGCAGAAGAAGCACCGGCUAACUCCGUGCCAGCAGCCGCGGUAAUAC
rnacentral:rRNA from 1 species